rnacentral:tRNA from 1 species
UUAAUAUUGGUUGACUGGUUAGAACGGGUGAAUUUCACCAGAUUGUAAAUAUCCACACCCACUUCACCAGCAGUAGCCUCGUCAUCAUUAACACGUACUACGACACGGUUUGCAUCUACAUAUUCCACAACACCGCCGCGACUGGCCGCAAUAGCUGUAGCACUGUCAAUAGCCACAGAGCGUUCAAUACCGGUACCAACCA